CUGAACCAGCCAAGUAGCGUGAAGGAUGCAGGCUCUAUGGGUCGUAAAAUUCUUUUAUAGAAGAAUAAAGUGCAGUAUUUAUACUGUUUUGUAUGUCUUAUAUGAAUAAGGAUCGGCUCACUCCGUGAAAGCAGCCGCGGUAAUACGGAGGAUCCGAGCGUUAUCCGGAUUUAUUGGGUUUAAAGGGAGCGUAGGUGGACUGGUAAGUCAGUUGUGAAAGUUUGCGG
rnacentral:rRNA from 1 species